rnacentral:rRNA from 1 species
AGUGAACGCUGGCGGCGUGCUUAACACAUGCAAGUCGAACGAGAACGGAUUAUAGCUUGCUAUAAUUGUCAGCUAAGUGGCGCACGGGUGAGUAAUGUAUAGGUAAUAUGCCUCUUACUAAGGGAUAACAAAUGGAAACGUUUGCUAAUACCUUAUACUCCUUAUUAACAGAAGUUAAUAAGGGAAAGAUUUAUUGGUAAGAGAUUAGCCUGUAUUGUAUCAGUUAGUUGGUGGGGUAAUGGCUUACCAAGACUAUGACACAUAACUGGUUUGAGGGGAUGAGCAGUAACAGGGGAACUGAAACACGGUCCAGACUCAUACGGGAGGAGGCGGUGGGAAAUAUUGAACAAUGGAGGAAAGUCUGAUGCAGCAACGCCGCGUGGAGGAUGACACAUUUCGGUGCGUAAACUCCUUUUAUAUGAGAAGAAAAUGACGGUAUUAUAUGAAUAAGCACCGGCUAACUCCGUGCCAGCAGCCGCCGUAA